rnacentral:rRNA from 1 species
UGCGCAGGCGGAAAAUUAAGUCAGUGAUGAAAUCCUGCAGCUUAACUGUAGAACUGUUAUUGAUACUGAUUUUCUUGAAUUCAGUUGAGGUAGGCGGAAUGUGUAAUGUAGCGGUGAAAUGCUUAGAUAUUACACAGAACACCGAUUGCGAAGGCAGCUUACUAAGCUGAUAUUGACGCUGAGGCACGAAAGCGUGGGGAGCGAACAGGAUUAGAUACCCUGGUAGUCC